rnacentral:lncRNA from 1 species
ACAAUGAAAAGUGCAAUGUUUUAUUCGAAUGGAUGCUGUCCAGCCGACGUCAGGAACUGCAAGAUGUUGAAGACGUUUCUCAGGAGGCGCAACGCUCUCAUUCAUCGAUUUCUUGAAAAAGUCAUUACAGAAGCAUUCAUUAUUUCUGGCAGAACUGUUCGUGCACUUGCAGUUACGUCAGAUGGCGU